AAUCAACGCUGGCGGCGUGCCUCAGACAUGCAAGUCGAACGCGAAAGUUCCCUUCGGGGGAGCGAGUAGAGUGGCGCACGGGUGAGUAACACGUAGGUAAUUUGCCUUCGGGUGGGGAAGUAUCAAUCGGAACGGUUGUUAAUACCGCAUAAUGCAGCGGCUCGACAUCGAGACAGUUGUUAAAAGCGGGGGAUUGGAGCAAUCCGACCUCGCGCCUGAAGAGAAGCCUGCGGCAGAUUAGCUAGUUGGUAAGGUAAUGGCUUACCAAGGCGACGAUCUGUAACCGGCCUGA
rnacentral:rRNA from 1 species